rnacentral:rRNA from 1 species
AGCGAACGCUGGCGGCAGGCUUAACACAUGCAAGUCGAGCGGGCAUCUUCGGAUGUCAGCGGCAGACGGGUGAGUAACACGUGGGAACGUACCCUUCGGUUCGGAACAACUCUGGGAAACUGGAGCUAGUACCGGAUACGCCCUUAUGGGGAAAGGUUUACUGCCGAAGGAUCGGCCCGCGUCUGAUUAGCUAGUUGGUGGGGUAACGGCCUACCAAGGCGACGAUCAGUAGCUGGUCUGAGAGGAUGAUCAGCCACACUGGGACUGAGACACGGCCCAGACUCCUACGGGAGGCAGCAGUGGGGAAUAUUGGACAAUGGGCGCAAGCCGGAUCCAGCCAUGCCGCGUGAGUGAUGAAGGCCUUAGGGUUGUAAAGCUCUUUUGUCCGGGACGAUAAUGACGGUACCGGAAGAAUAAGCCCCGGCGAACUUCGU